rnacentral:rRNA from 1 species
UCUUAACUCUGGCGGCGUGCCUAAUACAUGCAAGUCGAGCGAACGGACGAGAAGCUUGCUUUUCUGAUGUUAGCGGCGGACGGGUGAGUAACACGUGGAUAACCUACCUAUAAGACUGGGAUAACUUCGGGAAACCGGAGCUAAUACCGGAUAAUAUUUUGAACCGCAUGGUUCAAAAGUGAAAGACGGUCUUGCUGUCACUUAUAGAUGGAUCCGCGCUGCAUUAGCUAGUUGGUAAGGUAACGGCUUACCAAGGCAACGAUGCAUAGCCGACCUGAGAGGGUGAUCGGCCACACUGGAACUGAGACACGGUCCAGACUCCUACGGGAGGCAGCAGUAGGGAAUCUUCCGCAAUGGGCGAAAGCCUGACGGAGCAACGCCGCGUGAGUGAUGAAGGUCUUCGGAUCGUAAAACUCUGUUAUUAGGGAAGAACAUAUGUGUAAGUAACUGUGCACAUCUUGACGGUACCUAAUCAGAAAGCCACGGCUAACUACGUG